rnacentral:rRNA from 1 species
GACGACGCUGGCGGCGUGGAUUAGGCAUGCAAGUCGAACGGUAUCAUCCUUUCGGGGGUGAGAGAGUGGCGAACUGGUGAGUAACACGUAGGUUAUCUACCCUCAAGACGGGGACAACCCAGGGGAAACUUGGGCUAAUACCGGAUGUGAGCAACUUUUAGUUGUUUGAAAGGUGGCGUAAGCUGUCGCUUGGGGAUGAGCCUGCGUCCUAUUAGUUAGUUGGUGAGGUAACGGCUCACCUAGGCAAUGAUAGGUAGGCGGCCUUAACGGGUGGUCGCCCACACUGGGAUUGAGAUACGGCCCAGACUCCUACGGGAGGCAGCAGUCGAGAAUAGUCUACAAUGGUCGGAAGACUGAUAGUGCGACGCCGCGUGAACGAUGAAUCCCUUCGGGGUGUAAAGUUCUUUUAUAUGUGAGCAGUGCUUCUUAUAUUAACAGUAUGGGGAGAGAGAUAUUAGUAUAUGAAUAAGCAACGGCUAACUCCGUG